AAAUGGGGUGAAGAGCUGGGAUUCAGGGGAACUGGGAACUGUGUUUUCCUGCAGUUUGGAUCAUGUAGAAUAGGCUGCUCAACUCUCAGGAUGAGAGGACUCACCGCCUUGGAAUUACAGCUGGGAAAUGCUUCUGGAAAAACAGAAGAUGUGCUGGAGGAAGAUAUUGUUGUCUCUCUGGCCUGGCAGGUCACAGCUGGAAUUAGCCAUGAGGCAUUUAACACUGAAGUGGGAGAGAAGGAUGAAACACCAGGAAGAGGAGCUG
rnacentral:lncRNA from 1 species